rnacentral:rRNA from 1 species
GUGCCAGCAGGCGCGAAACCUCCGCAAUGUGCGAAAGCACGACGGGGUCAUCCCGAGUGCCGUCCGCUGAGGAUGGCUUUUCUCCAACGUAAGGAGUUGGAGGAAUAAGAGGAGGGCAAGGUCUGGUGUCAGCCGCCGCGGUAAUACCAGCUCCUCAAGUGGUGGGGACGAUUACUGGGCCUAAAGCGUCCGUAGCCGGCUUCGUAAGUCUCCCGUUAAAUCCAGCGAUCUAAUCGUUGGCGUGCGGGAGAUACUGCGAGGCUAGGGGGCGGGGGAGGCCGGCGGUAUUCCUAGGGUAGGGGUGAAAUCCUAUAAUCCUAGGAGGACCACCAGUGGCGAAGGCGGCCGGCUAAAACGCGCCCGACGGCGAGGGACGAAAGCUGGGGGAGCGAACCGGAUUAGAUACCCCGGUAGUCC